rnacentral:lncRNA from 1 species
CCAGAAUCUCUCUGACUUUCAGCCAUGGCCUCUUCCUCCUGGCUUUCAAGAUGUUCAGAGGCAUUGCUAAGAAAGAAAGAGCAGAGCUCUUCCUAGGCCAUGGCCGAGUUCACCUUUCCAGGUGUAUGCCAGAGCAUGAAGCAUGGUCAACAAGGACGGGGUAGCAGGAGCUGGAAACAGGGGAAGCUUCCACAGAGCCCCCCGCUGGAGUCCCAGGGUGAUGAGCUGAAGCUGAUCUUGGCAGCAUGAAAGGUGGUUUUCCGGGAUGUGUGCCGUAUAGGGCUCAGGGCUGUCACUGGGGUUGCUUUCACAGGACCCCCCCCAGCCCAGCUCAGGACCCCUGGUGAGUCUGUGGGUGACAAAUGUGUCACUGAGAGACAGCAUCAGGGUGGGAAUGCGGGGACCAUAGUGCCCAGGGCAGAGCCAAGCGGUGCUGGGGGGGUCACCCCCGAGGAGAAAGUCUCCCCCACGGGAGAAAUGGAUUGCUUAGCUCCCCACUAAGCUCCCAUUGCCUCCCAGUAUUGUCUAGAGUCGUCUUGUGCAAACUCAGUGCCCCCCAGUGCUGCCUGGCACCACCCCAGUGGUGUCUGCGGCCCUGAAUAGCCUCCCAGUGCCCUGCAGUGGGCUUCCCAGUGCCUCCAGUACUGCCCAGUGCCCCCAGCUCAACACACCCACUGCUCACUGCGUGACCAUCUCCUUCCCCGGGAACAGCACAAGGCAACAGAGACGUUGACAGCAGCGAUGGAGAUGGAGAUGUUCAGAGUGGAGGAGCUGUUGGCUCGCUGCAGCCACCCCAGCAUCCCCGGAGCUCCCUGCUGGCCCCGGAGGAGUCCGAGUGCUCUGUGCUGGAAGAAGAGGAGUCGAGGCUGCUGGAGACAUCAGGGCUCAGUGGCUCUGUGGCAGUGAUGCGCUGCAUUAGCUCUUGCGUUUGGCAGCUGUUUGCAAUGGCUUUGGUCCCCUCUCUUGUGACACCGGGCAGGUCCUGCUUGUGCUGGGGGACCUCCAGAGCCGCUUCUGAAAAAGCAAGAACAUCCCCCCGAACGAUGAUGGCAGCCUUCCCACAGCCAC